UACAGAGGUCUCGAGCGUUAGGCGGAAUCACUGGGCUUAAAGCGUGUGUAGGCGGAUCGUUAAGUACCUUGUGAAAUCCCACGGCUUAACCGUGGAACUGCUUGGUAUACUGGCGGUCUUGAGCCAGCUAGGGGCUACCGGAACAAAUGGUGGAGCGGUGAAAUGCGUAGAUAUCAUUUGGAACGCCAAAGGUGAAAACAGGUAGCUGGGGCUGUGCUGACGCUGAGACACGAAAGCCAGGGGAGCAAACGGG
rnacentral:rRNA from 1 species